rnacentral:rRNA from 1 species
GAUGAACGCUGGCGGCGUGCCUAAUACAUGCAAGUCGAGCGAACAGACGAGGAGCUUGCUCCUUUGACGUUAGCGGCGGACGGGUGAGUAACACGUGGGUCACCUACCUAUAAGACUGGGAUAACUUCGGGAAACCGGAGCUAAUACCGGAUAAUAUUUCGAACCGCAUGGUUCGAUAGUGAAAGAUGGCUUUGCUAUCACUUAUAGAUGGACUUGCGCCGUAUUAGCUAGUUGGUAAGGUAACGGCUUACCAAGGCAACGAUACGUAGCCGACCUGAGAGGGUGAUCGGCCACCUUGGAGCUGAGACGCGGUCCAGACGCCUACGGGAGGCAGCAGUAGGGAAUGUUCCGCAAUGGGCGAAAGCCUGACGGAACAACGCCGCGUGAGUGAUGAAGGUCUUCGGAUCGUAAAACUCUGUUAUUAGGGAAGAACAAACGUGUAAGUAACUGUGCACGUCUUGACGGUAACUAAUCAGAAAGCCACGGCUAACUACGUG